rnacentral:rRNA from 1 species
ACUCAAAUGAAUUGACGGGGGCCCGCACAAGCGGUGGAGCAUGUGGUUUAAUUCGACGCAACGCGAAGAACCUUACCUGGGCUUGAACUACUGGUAGUAAGCCCCUAGAAACAGGGGCUGAUCCGCAAGGAAGCCAGCAGAGGUGCUGCAUGGUUGUCGUCAGCUCGUGUCGUGAGAUGUUGGGUUAAGUCCCGCAACGAGCGCAACCCCUAUCUCAUGUUGCCAACCCCGCAAGGGGAGCACUCUUGAGAAACUGCCUCCGAUAAGGAGGAGGAAGGUGGGGACGACGUCAAAUCCUCAUGGCCCUUAUGUCCAGGGCUACACACGUGCUACAAUGGCCGGUACAACGGGAAGCAAUACCGCAAGGUGGAGCCAACCCCUGAAAGCCGGCCUCAGUUCAGAUUGUGGGCUGCAACUCGCCCACAUGAAGGCGGAAUCGCUAGUAAUCGCGAAUCAGCAGGUCGCGGUGAAUACGUUCCCGGGCCUUGCACACACCGCCCGU